CCUACGGGAGGCAGCAGUAGGGAAUCUUCCGCAAUGGACGAAAGUCUGACGGAGCAACGCCGCGUGAGUGAAGAAGGUUUUCGGAUCGUAAAACUCUGUUGUUGUUAGGGAAGAACAAGUACCGUUCGCCAUAGGGCGGCACCUUGACGGUACCUAACCAGAAAGCCACGGCUAACUACGUGCCAGCAGCCGCGGUAAUACGUAGGUGGCAAGCGUUGUCCGGAUUUAUUGGGCGUAAAGCGCGCGCAGGUGGUUUCUUAAGUCUGAUGUGAAAGCCCACGGCUCAACCGUGGAGGGUCAUUGGAAACUGGGGAACUUGAGUGCAGAAGAGGAAAGUGGAAUUCCAAGUGUAGCGGUGAAAUGCGUAGAUAUUUGGAGGAACACCAGUGGCGAAGGCGACUUUCUGGUCUGUAACUGACACUGAGGCGUGAAAGCGUGGGGAGCAAACAGGAUUAGAUACCCUGGUAGUCCACGCCGUAAACGAUGAGUGCUAAGUGUUAGAGGGUUUCCGCCCUUUAGUGCUGCAGCUAACGCAUUAAGCACUCC
rnacentral:rRNA from 1 species